CCCUUAGAUGUUCUGGGCCGCACGCGCGCUACACUGACGAAGUCAGCGAGCAUCUCCUACGCCGAAAGGUGCGGGGAAUCUUGUGAAACUUUGUCGUGCUGGGGAUUGAUUUUUGAAAUUCUUGAUCAUCAACGAGGAAUUCCUAGUAAGCGCAAGUCAGCAGCUUGCGUUGAUUACGUCCCUGCCCUUUGUACACACCGCCCGUCGCUACUACCGAUUGAAUGGUUUAGUGAGAUUUUUGGACUGGAACUCUCUUGUUCAGCAAUGAACGAGAGGGACUCUGGGAAGCUAUUCUAACUGUAUCAUUUAGAGGAAGUAAAAGGCGUAACA
rnacentral:rRNA from 1 species